rnacentral:rRNA from 1 species
CGAGCGCACCCACAUCCUUAGUUGCCAGCAGUUCGGCUGGGCACUCUAGGGAAACUGCCCGUGAUAAGCGGGAGGAAGGUGUGGAUGACGUCAAGUCCUCAUGGCCCUUACGGGUUGGGCUACACACGUGCUACAAUGGUGGUGACAGUGGGUUAAUCCCCAAAAGCCAUCUCAGUUCGGAUUGGGGUCUGCAACUCGACCCCAUGAAGUCGGAAUCGCUAGUAAUCGCGUAACAGCAUGACGCGGUGAAUACGUUCCCGGGCCUU